AAGGUAACCGUAACUUGCUCCCUGAUGUUAGCGGCGGACGGGUGAGUAACACGUGGGUAACCUGCCUGUAAGACUGGGAUAACUCCGGGAAACCGGGGCUAAUACCGGAUGCUUGUUUGAACCGCAUGGUUCAAACAUAAAAGGUGGCUUCGGCUACCACUUACAGAUGGACCCGCGGCGCAUUAGCUAGUUGGUGAGGUAAUGGCUCACCAAGGCGACGAUGCGUAGCCGACCUGAGAGGGUGAUCGGCCACACUGGGACUGAGACACGGCCCAGACUCCUACGGGAGGCAGCAGUAGGGAAUCUUCCGCAAUGGACGAAAGUCUGACGGAGCAACGCCGCGUGAGUGAUGAAGGUUUUCGGAUCGUAAAGCUCUGUUGUUAGGGAAGAACAAGUACCGUUCGAAUAGGGCGGUACCUUGACGGUACCUAACCAGAAAGCCACGGCUAACUACGUGCCAGCAGCCGCGGUAAUACGUAGGUGGCAAGCGUUGUCCGGAAUUAUUGGGCGUAAAGGGCUCGCAGGCGGUUUCUUAAGUCUGAUGUGAAAGCCCCCGGCUCAACCGGGGAGGGUCAUUGGAAACUGGGGAACUUGAGUGCAGAAGAGGAGAGUGGAAUUCCACGUGUAGCGGUGAAAUGCGUAGAGAUGUGGAGGAACACCAGUGGCGAAGGCGACUCUCUGGUCUGUAAACUGACGCUGAGGAGCGAAAGCGUGGGGAGCGAACAGGAUUAGAUACCCAUGGUAGUCCACGCC
rnacentral:rRNA from 1 species